AAUCCUUUAGAUGUGGAUGAAUGCGCACAAAACCCUGGCAUCUGUGAUAUAAAUGCAAACUGCAGUAACAUUGGAGGAAGCUAUGCCUGUGAAUGUUUGAAAGGUUAUACUGGUGAUGGUAAACUUGACUGUUCAGGUACAUGCAAAGGUGUAGAUUUACUCUGAAUAUCGUUAAAAAUACCAUACCUACUGUUAUUAUCUAAUUACUUUUUUCUACAUUUUGUUCUAUAUUGUAGAUAUUGAUGAGUGCACAACUUCUCCCGACAUUUGCGAUAAAAACGCGCAAUGCUCAAACACUCCAAGAUCUUACGUGUGCCAAUGUACUGUAGGUUACUCGGGUGAUGGUUACAGUAGAUGUACAG